UACGGGGGGAGCAAGCGUUGUUCGGAUUUACUGGGCGUAAAGGGCGCGUAGGCGGUCAGCACAAGUCAGUUGUGAAAUCUCCGGGCUUAACUCGGAACGGUCAACUGAUACUGCGGGGCUAGAGUGCGGAAGGGGCAACUGGAAUUCUUGGUGUAGCGGUGAAAUGCGUAGAUAUCAAGAGGAACACCUGCGGCGAAGGCGGGUUGCUGGGCCGACACUGACGCUGAGGCGCGAAAGCUAGGGGAGCGAACGGG
rnacentral:rRNA from 1 species